GAUGGAAUAGGUUUGGCCCAUACAUUUGGCCCGUUGGAGACCCAAACAUGCUUAGUUUUUGUCGUCGUCUUCCUCUUUCAGAAGCGACCUCAAUGAUGUGAUUCACCAACUGAAAGGUCGAUUCCCAACUCUGAAACGUCUCCCCGAUCCAUAAAUCAUUUCUGUACUCUGAGUUUUUCUUAAUUAAUCUACUCCACCCACAUGAAUCAAUCAAUAAACCUCUUCGUUUUUCCCAGUAACUGGUUGAAACUUCACCUAUAAAUGUCUCUCUUUUCUUCGAUGUUGAGUACAACUCAAACGAUUUCCAAAAGCAAUUAUUUGGAUGUUGGAGUCUGUGUCAAAUAUUCAAUUAACACAAUUGAGGAACCACAAUAGUUAUCUCACACGGAUGUUUCCUGCGACUGCGAGAAUUCAGCGUCCACCGCUCCAUUCUUGGAGAUUGGUCACGUCUAUACUAUGGAGUUGAGCUUCAGGAUACUUUGAUGUUAGGUACAGAUUAUUACCAAACUGAAUCUGGGAUUGCAUCUCUAUUAGCAGAAGGAAAUGUUCCAAUAUGUAUUGGUAGAGAUACAAAGAUCAGUUAAAACCUUUUCAAACAUCAAUCAAGUUAUUUUCUGGUGAUUUAUACAGGAAAUGCAUCAUUGACAAGAAUGCUAAGAUUGGUAAAAACAUGAUCAUCAUGAACAAAGGCAUGUUACUUGAUACGCAAGCCAUGAAGACAAUUCUUAUAGAAAUUCCUUCCCUUGCCAGACUGACUUCAACUGCUGCCCAGCUAAUCUAAAUUUGUGAGCCGUGAAAUAAGAAUUGCUUUAAUGGCAUACUGUCCCCAAUCGAUUCAGUGGUAGACACUUAUCAUACUCCUCUUUUUACCUUGACUAUGUAGUAACAAGAUUGACAGAUCUGCACUUUCUCCUUUUUCCCUUUGGACUAUGAGGUUUUGAGCUCUGCAUCAUGGGUUAGAUUUCUAUUUCUUAUUUGUAUUCAACUGUUUAAGAAUCUCUCAGAAUUUCAUUCCACAAUGUCAAAAACUGUCUUCAGAUUUUUAGGUAAAGUAACUUGCAAAAUCUUAACUUCCUCUGUUCUCUACGUAUCUUUAAUGUUUGAUUGAUAUUUUAGCAGAUGAGGCCCUGCAACAACAUAAUCCGACACUUGAAAAUAUCACUUUUGUACAUUUAACAUUUUAGGUUGAUGUAUUCAUGUUCAAUCAAACAGAGUUCACUAUGUAUAAUAAAACCAAUAAGGAAAGAUGACUGAAAAUUCUCAUGA